ACCUGGGUGGCUCAGUCGGUUGAGCGUCCGACUUAGGGUCAGGUCAUGACCUCACUGUUCGUGGGUUCAAGCCCCGCAUCAGGCU
rnacentral:tRNA from 1 species